rnacentral:rRNA from 1 species
UCGAGCACAAUUGGAGGGCAAGUCUGGUGCCUGCAGCCGCGGUCUUCUGGCUCCUGAGCGGAUAUCCCCGUUGUGGCCCUUUUAAGCUCGUCUCUUAAAUGAAGGGUAUCUGUGACAUGAAUACAUUCGUGUAUUUUGUUAUUCUGCUACCCUCCUUCUACAUUCGAUAGAUGAGUAUUCUUUUACUUGCUUAUGGUUUUAGACUUUUACUGUGACAAAAUUAUAGUGACUCAUAUAUGCAUUUGCUUGAGUAUAUUAUCAUGUAACAAUCUUGUCUAAUGUUCUCGAUACAUUUGAUUGCUUCAUUUGAUGACAAUAAGAUUAACUGGGACAGCUGGGGGAAUUCCUAUUCAAUAUGCAAAUGCGAAAUUCGCUGAUUUAUGAAAUAUGAACCAGUGCUAAAUCAUUUACCAUGGAUGUUUUCUUUAAUCCCGAACGAAAGUUAUGGGAUCGAAUAGGA